rnacentral:rRNA from 1 species
CGAAGGGAAACCGAGUCUUAACCGGGCGUUAAGUUGCAGGGUAUAGACCCGAAACCCGGUGAUCUAGCCAUGGGCAGGUUGAAGGUUGGGUAACACUAACUGGAGGACCGAACCGACUAAUGUUGAAAAAUUAGCGGAUGACCUGUGGCUGGGGGUGAAAGGCCAAUCAAACCGGGAGAUAGCUGGUUCUCCCCGAAAGCUAUUUAGGUAGCGCCUCGUGAAUUCAUCUCCGGGGGUAGAGCACUGUUUCGGCUAGGGGGCCAUCCCGGCUUACCAACCCGAUGCAAACUGCGAAUACCGGAGAAUGUUAUCACGGGAGACACACGGCGGGUGCUAACGUCCGUCGUGAAGAGGGAAACAACCCAGACCGCCAGCUAAGGUCCCAAAGUCAUGGUUAAGUGGGAAACGAUGUGGGAAGGCCCAGACAGCCAGGAUGUUGGCUUAGAAGCAGCCAUCAUUUAAAGAAAGCGUAAUAGCUCACUGGUCGAGUCGGCCUGCGCGGAAGAUGUAACGGGGCUAAACCAUGCACCGAAGCUGCGGCAGCGACGCUUAUGCGUUGUUGGGUAGGGGAGCGUUCUGUAAGCCUGUGAAGGUGGCCUGUGAGGGUUGCUGGAGGUAUCAGAAGUGCGAAUGCUGACAUAAGUAACGAUAAAGCGGGUGAAAAGCCCGCUCGCCGGAAGACCAAGGGUUCCUGUCCAACGUUAAUCGGGGCAGGGUGAGUCGACCCCUAAGGCGAGGCCGAAAGGCGUAGUCGAUGGGAAACAGGUUAAUAUUCCUGUACUUGGUGUUACUGCGAAGGGGGGACGGAGAAGGCUAUGUUGGCCGGGCGACGGUUGUCCCGGUUUAAGCGUGUAGGUGUGUGUUCCAGGUAAAUCCGGUUCACUUUAACACUGAGGCGUGAUGACGAGGCACUACGGUGCUGAAGCAACAAAUGCCCUGCUUCCAGGAAAAGCCUCUAAGCAUCAGGUAACAUCAAAUCGUACCCCAAACCGACACAGGUGGUCAGGUAGAGAAUACCAAGGCGCUUGAGAGAACUCGGGUGAAGGAACUAGGCAAAAUGGUGCCGUAACUUCGGGAGAAGGCACGCUGACAC